rnacentral:ncRNA from 1 species
AAUAAAUUUUUUAUGGUUUAAAAAUUUUAUUAUAAAUUUAUUUUGCAUAUAAAUUUUAGUAAUAAUUUUUAAUUAUUUUAAUAAUAAUUAAUUUAAUAAGUAGUAGUAAUUAAUAUUAAAAAUUUAAGAAAUUAAGAUUUAGUAAUAUUUAAAUUAAUAACAAAUUUUGUGCCAGCAGUUGCGGUUAAACAAAAGUUAAAUUAAAUUUUAUUAGUAAUUAAUAAAUAAAUUAUUAAUUUUAAAUAAAUAUUAAAUUAUUAAGUGAAAUUUUAAUUUAAUUAAAAUUAAUAUAAAAUUUAUGAUUUAAUAAAUUUUUAAAAUAAACUAGGAUUAGAUACCCUAUUAUUAAAAAUUUAAAUUUAUAAUGCUAAAAUAGUAUGUAAUUAUUUAUUGAAACUUAAAUAAUUUGGCGGUAUCUUAGUUCAUUUAGAGGAAUCUGUUUAAUAAUUGAUAGUCCACGAAUAAAUUUACUUAAUUUAAUAUUUUGUAUAUCGUUGUUAAAAAAAUAUUUUUAAAUAAUAAUAAUAUUUAAAAAUUAAAAUUAAAAAUUAAAUCAGAUCAAGAUGCAGAUUAUAAUUAAGAAUAUAAUGGAUUACAAUGAAUUUAUUUAAACUAAUAUUAAUUUGUAAAUAAUUAAUUGAAGGGGGAUUUAAAGGUAAUUUUAUUUAAUUUAUUAAAAUGAUUAUAAAUUAAAAUAUGUACAUAUUGCCCGUCGCUUUCAUAAAUAAAUUGAAAUAAGUCGAAACAAAGUAAAGGUACUGGAAAGUGUUUCUAGAAAUA